rnacentral:rRNA from 1 species
GAUGAACGCUGGCGGCGUGCCUAAUACAUGCAAGUAGAACGCUGAAGGAAGGAGCUUGCUCUUUCCGGAUGAGUUGCGCACGGGUGAGUAACGCGUAGGUAACCUGCCUGGUAGCGGGGGAUAACUAUUGGAAACGAUAGCUAAUACCGCAUAACAGUAGAUGUUGCAUGAUAUCUACUUAAAAGGUGCAAUUGCACCACUACCAGAUGGACCUGCGUUGUAUUAGCUAGUUGGUGAGGUAACGGCUCACCAAGGCGACGAUACAUAGCCGACCUGAGAGGGUGAUCGGCCACACUGGGACUGAGACACGGCCCAGACUCCUACGGGAGGCAGCAGUAGGGAAUCUUCGGCAAUGGACGGAAGUCUGACCGAGCAACGCCGCGUGAGUGAAGAAGGUUUUCGGAUCGUAAAGCUCGGUUGUAAGAGAAGAACGAGUGUGAGAGUGGAAAGUUCACACUGUGACGGUAGCUUACCAGAAAGAGACGGCUAACUACGUG